rnacentral:rRNA from 1 species
AGCGCAGACGGUUUAUUAAGUCUGAUGUGAAAGGCAUGGGCUCAACCUGUGGACUGCAUUGGAAACUGUCAUACUUGAGUGCCGGAGGGGUAAGCGGAAUUCCUAGUGUAGCGGUGAAAUGCGUAGAUAUUAGGAGGAACACCAGUGGCGAAGGCGGCUUACUGGACGGUAACUGACGUUGAGGCUCGAAAGCGUGGGGAGCAAACA